GCUCUGUUCGUCUAGCGGAUAGGACACCAGGCUUUCAUCCUGGCAACACGGGUUCGAGUCCCGUACAGAGCACCA
rnacentral:tRNA from 1 species